UAAGCGACUAAGCGUACACGGUGGAUGCCUAGGCAGUCAGAGGCGAUGAAGGGCGUGCUAAUCUGCGAAAAGCGUCGGUAAGCUGAUAUGAAGCGUUAUAACCGACGAUACCCGAAUGGGGAAACCCAGUGCAAUACGUUGCACUAUCGUUAGAUGAAUACAUAGUCUAACGAGGCGAACCGGGGGAACUGAAACAUCUAAGUACCCCGAGGAAAAGAAAUCAACCGAGAUUCCCCCAGUAGCGGCGAGCGAACGGGGAGGAGCCCAGAGUCUGAAUCAGUUUGUGUGUUAGUGGAAGCGUCUGGAAAGUCGCACGGUACAGGGUGAUAGUCCCGUACACCAAAAUGCACAGGCUGUGAACUCGAUGAGUAGGGCGGGACACGUGACAUCCUGUCUGAAUAUGGGGGGACCAUCCUCCAAGGCUAAAUACUCCUGACUGACCGAUAGUGAACCAGUACCGUGAGGGAAAGGCGAAAAGAACCCCGGCGAGGGGAGUGAAAUAGAACCUGAAACCGUGUACGUACAAGCAGUGGGAGCACCUUCGUGGUGUGACUGCGUACCUUUUGUAUAAUGGGUCAGCGACUUAUAUUUUGUAGCAAGGUUAACCGAAUAGGGGAGCCGUAGGGAAACCGAGUCUUAACUGGGCGUCUAGUUGCAAGGUAUAGACCCGAAACCCGGUGAUCUAGCCAUGGGCAGGUUGAAGGUUGGGUAACACUAACUGGAGGACCGAACCGACUAAUGUUGAAAAAUUAGCGGAUGACUUGUGGCUGGGGGUGAAAGGCCAAUCAAACCGGGAGAUAGCUGGUUCUCCCCGAAAGCUAUUUAGGUAGCGCCUCGUGAACUCAUCUUCGGGGGUAGAGCACUGUUUCGGCUAGGGGGCCAUCCCGGCUUACCAAACCGAUGCAAACUCCGAAUACCGAAGAAUGUUAUCACGGGAGACACACGGCGGGUGCUAACGUCCGUCGUGAAGAGGGAAACAACCCAGACCGCCAGCUAAGGUCCCAAAGUCAUGGUUAAGUGGGAAACGAUGUGGGAAGGCACAGACAGCCAGGAUGUUGGCUUAGAAGCAGCCAUCAUUUAAAGAAAGCGUAAUAGCUCACUGGUGGAGUCGGCCUGCGCGGAAGAUGUAACGGGGCUAAACCAUGCACCGAAGCUGCGGCAGCGACACUUAGGUGUUGUUGGGUAGGGGAGCGUUCUGUAAGCCGUUGAAGGUGACCUGUGAGGGUUGCUGGAGGUAUCAGAAGUGCGAAUGCUGACAUAAGUAACGAUAAUGCGGGUGAAAAACCCGCACGCCGGAAGACCAAGGGUUCCUGUCCAACGUUAAUCGGGGCAGGGUGAGUCGACCCCUAAGGCGAGGCUGAAAAGCGUAGUCGAUGGGAAACAGGUUAAUAUUCCUGUACUUGGUGUUACUGCGAAGGGGGACGGAGAAGGCUAGGCUGGCCGGGCGACGGUUGUCCCGGUUUAAGCGUGUAGGGGGAGUGACCAGGUAAAUCCGGUUGCUUAUCAACCCUGAGGCGUGAUGACGAUGCACCACGGUGCAGAAGCAGUUGAUGCCAUGCUUCCAGGAAAAGCCUCUAAGCAUCAGGUAACAUUAAAUCGUACCCCAAACCGACACAGGUGGUCAGGUAGAGAAUACUCAGGCGCUUGAGAGAACUCGGGUGAAGGAACUAGGCAAAAUGGUGCCGUAACUUCGGGAGAAGGCACGCUGGCGUUAGGUGAAAGGACUAGCUCCUGGAGCUGAAGCCAGUCGCAGAUACCAGCUGGCUGCAACUGUUUAAUAAAAACACAGCACUGUGCAAACACGAAAGUGGACGUAUACGGUGUGACGCCUGCCCGGUGCUGGAAGGUUAAUUGAUGGGGUCAGCCGCGAGGCGAAGCUCUUGAUCGAAGCCCCAGUAAACGGCGGCCGUAACUAUAACGGUCCUAAGGUAGCGAAAUUCCUUGUCGGGUAAGUUCCGACCUGCACGAAUGGCGUAAUGAUGGCCAGGCUGUCUCCACCCGAGACUCAGUGAAAUUGAACUCGCUGUGAAGAUGCAGUGUACCCGCGGCAAGACGGAAAGACCCCGUGAACCUUUACUAUAGCUUGACACUGAACAUUGAGCCUUGAUGUGUAGGAUAGGUGGGAGGCCUUGAAGUGUGGACGCCAGUCUGCAUGGAGCCAACCUUGAAAUACCACCCUUUAAUGUUUGAUGUUCUAACUCGGCCCCAUGAUCUGGGGUGAGGACAGUGUCUGGUGGGUAGUUUGACUGGGGCGGUCUCCUCCCAAAGAGUAACGGAGGAGCACGAAGGUUAGCUAAUCACGGUCGGACAUCGUGAGGUUAGUGCAAAGGCAUAAGCUAGCUUGACUGCGAGAGUGACGGCUCGAGCAGGUACGAAAGUAGGUCUUAGUGAUCCGGUGGUUCUGAAUGGAAGGGCCAUCGCUCAACGGAUAAAAGGUACUCCGGGGAUAACAGGCUGAUACCGCCCAAGAGUUCAUAUCGACGGCGGUGUUUGGCACCUCGAUGUCGGCUCAUCACAUCCUGGGGCUGAAGUAGGUCCCAAGGGUAUGGCUGUUCGCCAUUUAAAGUGGUACGCGAGCUGGGUUUAGAACGUCGUGAGACAGUUCGGUCCCUAUCUGCCGUGGGCGUUGGAAGAUUGAGAGGGGCUGCUCCUAGUACGAGAGGACCGGAGUGGACGAAUCACUGGUGUUCGGGUUGUCAUGCCAAUGGCAUUGCCCGGUAGCUAAAUUCGGAAGAGAUAACCGCUGAAAGCAUCUAAGCGGGAAACUUGCCUCGAGAUGAGUCUUCCCUGGGGCUUAAAGCCCCCUGAAGGAACGUUAAAGACUAUGACGUUGAUAGGCUGGGUGUGUAAGUGCAGCGAUGUAUUGAGCUAACCAGUACUAAUGAUCCGUGAGGCUUAACCU
rnacentral:rRNA from 1 species